AAAAGGCCGCCGGCCCCCGCCAGGGCGCGGCUCGGCCCCGGCAGCAGCCGCCGCUGGAGGCUGUCCGGGCAGGGGCGCCGCGCCCCGCGCCUCUCGCGGAGGGACCCGCAGCCCGGCACCGACGCGCGGCUUACGGCCAGCCUAAGGGCCGGGCGGCUCCGUCCCCGCGUUGCCUUUCUUAGAAAAGGAGCCGCAGGGAGAAAAUCCCAGGGAAAACUCCGCUUCCCUCCUGCAGCCUCCUCGCGUCGUUCGUGGCAGAGCAAGCGAGCAAGGAUGCUCGCGGUGCCCGGUCGCGAAGGGGGGAGGCGAAGGGCUACGUCUUUGGAGCCACUCGUUUUUUAAGGGUCGUGACUACGAGGUGGAUCCAAAGCGGGGGGUCGGGUGGUACUGGAGGGAGGGUCACUCCACUGAGGAAUUCCCACGGUCGCUUCACCAUCUCCUUAUCACAGCGAUAGCGAAACACCCGUGGCGAGGAGUUCAGCACAAGGUUACAGAAAAAACUCAGCUUCAGAAUUUACCAGGAGCUACGACAAGGAGUGCAAACCCAAAGAACGACAAGGAGCAGUUUUUUAACCAUCUUCAGCUACAGCACCUGGCUCAUGGCACAUUCUGCUGGGAUCCACAUAUCCAUCGUCUCCAGGGCAUCCCGGAAUAUCUACAUUCAAUCCAUAUUGGAUAAUUUCAGCUAUAUUUAUAGCGUUUAUGACAGUGGAUCUACAUAUACAGAUGAGAUAUGGCUGCUAAAAGGAGCCAUCAGACAAAAGGGCAGGAGAGGAAGCUAAAAAUCCUUUUCAAAAGGCAGAGAAAAUAAAUGAACAACAAAAAAAAAGAUGCCAAAAGGAACUGUGCCGUUAAUGGCUUUGCAAAUGCUUGUUUGUCCCCACAUGAAGGAAGAUGGAUGUGUGAAGAGUCACCCAAGUUUCAGGGAGAAACUGAGCAAGACAGAUUAGUCCCACCUCAGCCUGACACCUGGGGCACGUCCUUAUCUAAGGGGGUAAAUGGAUCAGAAUGUUACUGCCCGUUUAUUUAUUCUCCUUCUGUUUGGAGACUUUCCCUGAUUAAUUACUCUCUAGUAAUUGCUGCUGUUAACUAAUGUCAAACCUAAUUAACCUGGAGUCCCUUCAUCCAGUACCUCCACCAUCCCUUUGCAAAGACGAGAAGGUCAUCAGCUAGGAGGUUCUGAGGAUGGCCACACUUUACCCAUUCGUUUAUUUGCUUUGGGCCUUGUUUGCUAUUCCUGCCGCAAUGCCUGGCGACAGCUUUCUAGAAUUCCCAUCAAGUCUAAUUGGCCUGCUGAAGCAGCAGUGAACACAAGAUUUAAGAAAUGUUUUCUUUAAAAACUUCUGGUCCUACAGACACUUUGAGAUCAAGUUUCACUCUGCUGAAAUCACACACGAUUCCCUGUGAUUUUCAUGAGAAAUACUGUAAGAAAGUAUUAAAAGAGAAACAUGUCUCAGUGGUUUGGAGUGACUGAUGGCCAGGGGGGUUGAAGAGUGGGUGGUGGUAACAUAGCAAGGCAUCUACAGAAUCUUUAGAGGUUGCCAAAAUUAACACAUACAAGGUAUUCAGUAUCAAAGUUUUCAAUAUUUGGCUCCAUAAACACAAUACCGGUUGCAAAAACAAAGCUAAGGAUUUCAUGCUGAUUACUUAAAUAAAAACUGUUUAAUUAUGAACAUUUGGGAAAUGAAGUUAUGAAGAACUGACCAACAUUGCUACGGCUUCCUAGUGUUCAUACCAGACUGUGAACACUGUGCCAGCAUCUUACUGCUUAGCAUACUGUAGAUUCAGCUAUGGUAAACAGUUCUAAGGCUUAACAUGGCUCAGGCAGAUAGUUCAAUGCAGAAGGAGGUCUAGCUCAUCACUGAGGCCUUUCGCUUUUUUUUUUUUAUCAGCUGUGGACAAUGUAGUCCAAUAAAAGUUGACAGCAUCAUCUGUAGAGGUGCUGAUCAAGCAGGUAAAGUUCCUGUCUUCUUAACUUGAUUUUAUCUGCUUUUCAGGCAUUUUCAUACAAUAAAAUAAGAAGAUUUAUUUUAGAAAUAGAAAUAAAUCAUGUUAGUAUACAAGAAAUGUUGGAUGACACUUCAUAUUGGUCACAAAGAUCAGGCUUGUCUUCCUGACUCUUGACAAGAGCUCUGUUUUUUUUUAUAUAUUUUAUCAUUGAUAGGAUAAGAACAUUUUGGAUUGGGUUGUCUAGCAUGUCUCUCAUCCCUGAACAGUUCCCAAGCAAGGAGUCAGCAAGUACCAGGCUUCAUUCCUAGUAAGUGGUUUGGCCACAGCCACCCUGUUUUAAAAGCUGAGAGACUUCUAUAAUGUGGAAGUAGGCUUUUUCCAUUACACUCAGCCUCGUGGCUAAAGAGUCCUCUCCUGUCUUGAACAGGUCACUUUGCAUUCCCUCUUUCUCCUCUCAGAAUCACACUACCAGUCAUUUAAGAAUAUGCCAGUUAUUUUUAAAUAACUAACAUUGGAAUUGUGUUCUGCUUUGAUUUUCCUAUGAAAGCAGAGUAGGAGGAAGCUACAAAACCAAAGGGAAAAAACAUUCCUAAUGUUUUGAGCUGAAAUACAACAACAAAAACAACAGCAAUGAUGAUGACAACAAACCUUCUCAGUAUAAUCCUAGAACACUUUAGAUUUCUGAUGAAUAAUAAAGGAAAUGAGCACUGCUGCUAGUAUCUAAAGCAAGAAAGGAAUACUUGUAAAAAUAUAUACAUGUAUAUAUACCUGUAUACUGUUAUAAAUUUCAGCCAAUUGUAUACAAUUUUGUUAAUGCAAUA